rnacentral:rRNA from 1 species
UAAGGAAUAUUGGUCAAUGGGCGCAAGCCUGAACCAGCCAUGCCGCGUGCAGGAAGACGGCCCUAUGGGUUGUAAACUGCUUUUGUACGGGAGAAAACCCUUUCACGUGUGCGAGGUUGAUAGUACCGUAAGAAUAAGCAUCGGCUAACUUCGUGCCAGCAGCCGCGGUAAGACGAAGGAUGCAAGCGUUAUCCGGAUUCAUUGGGUUUAAAGGGAGCGUAGGCGGACUGGUAAGUCAGUGGUGAAAUCUCUCAGCUUAACUGAGAAACUGCCAUUGAUACUGCCGGUCUUGAGUACAGAUGAUGCGGGCGGAAUAUGACAUGUAGUGGUGAAAUACUUAGAUAUGUCAUAGAACACCGAUUGCGAAGGCAGCUCACAAAACUGUAACUGACGCUGAGGCUCGAAAGUGCGGGGAUCAAAC